GACGGAGGGCGCAAGCGUUGUUCGGAAUUACUGGGCGUAAAGCGCGGGCAGGUGGUUCGUUAAGUCGUCUGUGAAAACCCGGGGCUCAACCCCGUGGAAUGCAGGCGAUACUGGCGAGCUAGAGAUCGGUAGAGGCUAGCGGAAUUCCUGGUGUAGCGGUGGAAUGCGUAGAUAUCAGGAAGAACACCAGUGGCGAAGGCGGCUAGCUGGGCCGAGUCUGACACUCAUCCGCGAAAGCGUGGGGAGCAAACAGGAUUAGAUACCCUCGUA
rnacentral:rRNA from 1 species